UGAAAAUCCCCAGAAUUAAUUAAUUCAUUCAGUUCUAGUACUGUUCCCUGCCGUGAAAAAAAGAGAACAUUACGCUGCGUUGCUGAAGCUCGAAGGUUCGGCCUCGGCAUUCCAAUGGGGGCGAAAUGCAGAAACACUCGUGCGCUCAUAUCUAGGUGCGAGUUUAAGAAUCCCAGAUGGUCAAAAAUGAAUCCGGAGUCCCCCACUACGGCGUGCCUCAUAAUCAGAUUUUGGCACGUAAAACCCCAAAACUUUUUGACUGGAACAGAUAAAAAAAGAACUUUUCGGCCCUGCCUUAACAACGCUGCGAGCGUUAUCCAAAAUUUUGCUUCGGCAGAGUAGUCGACACACGUGUCGUAUAGAGCACGCGUUGCAACGAGAGGAUGCAAGACCGGACGUUGCACCGAGAUAAAAACAAGAUACGCAAGCUGAGUCUGCGGGGUCUCGCACGCAUAUAUAUGUUAUUGCACAGCGUAUAGCGGUUAGAGUCAGUGCCUAAUAUUGGAUCGGACGCAGACAGAACAAUGAAGGCGCACUGCAUCAUCGCUGCGAUCGCAAUUGUGGUCCUUUCAGACAUCGCAAAGUCGUCUACGGUCGGAAAUAACGUGCCCCGAUGCCCGUUGUUUCUGAUCCCCGAAGGCGGCUGCACCGAACCGCCCAGCAAUGUGACAUGCGCGGACCUCCGCUGCGAACAAUACAACCAAGCGUGCUGCAGCAGGGCCUGCGGUGGAAAGUUCUGCUUCGGCAUACGGCUCGGCGAUGAUUAGCUUUCCGAAGUCGUUAAUAAUUCUGUUCACUUUGUGAUAUCCUUAAUUGACGUUUUUGUGUGAAAAUGCCGUUGGAUAUCAUGAGUGAUCUUUGCAAGGGUCGGCAUACAUAGUAUAAAAAGAACAACUGUGCAAGACCUAUACAACACGUUGGUGGUUCAAAGCAGGGAGGAUGCAAAUGUCGAUUUCCGUGACCGGUGCGCAUCAAACGGUCAGGUGUUUAAAUGAGAUAAUAUAAGUGUGCUCUUGUAGCUGUAAGUAACAAGUGUACCUGGAAGAUUUGCACGUUGUGUUGCGUUAGUGCGCCGUCUGCGCUGUUAUGCGAUGAGAAGACUGCACUGGCAAAUGUUGUUUAUCAAAAUUAAUGGGAUGCAAGAAUAGGACAGUUUUUAGUUCAUCGGUGCCUCGCGUCCUGCGUGCGCUUCUCGUAGUCCGUGUCCAUUUCACUGUUACUUCGUAUGCACGAAAAAAUAAAAAUGAAAGGCAAUGAAAGCUUCUA